rnacentral:lncRNA from 1 species
CCAGCAGACUAGGAAACACCGGGUCUUUCAAAGCUGCUUUUGAGGUUAAUUAACUUGCAAUGAUAAGGUCCACCUUCCCUCCAACGCUGAGCCUCAAAGGGUUUGUGUCUUUUCUCCUUGAAUUAUAAGGCCCCUCCUCUUCUUCCCCUGCUGACUAUAAGGUAAUGGAAGUGAGGAAUGGAAGAGUGUGUGUGUGUGUGUGUGUGUGUGUGUGUGUGUGUGUGUAGUCUUAGAGAUAAAAGAAAGCCUGAACAUAGAUGUGAUGUGUUAAAGAGCUCAUGUGUUAAAUACCUGGCUUCUGCUCUUUGCUGGAGCAAUCCUGCCUGUGUGAGAGAUGAAAGUAUUUCUGUAAAUGCAUUUAUGCUUACUUCCGAGUGACAAUCAGUUAGUGCUCUGGUAAUUUUGCUUUGAAAUGUGGUAAGAGAUAAUGCUCACCAUGGAAGAUGAUGUUUCCCAGCAAAAGAGUGUGGGUGGUUCCAGCUCCCAAUGGGAGGAGCGCUUUGGGAUGGAUGACCUUCCAGGUCACCCCAUGUUGUGCACCACCCACUCUGCCCUUUCACAAACUGAGCCCACAGGAAGAUGCCUUAUUUGGGAACCUAUUAGAUGAAGCAUCCUCUUCCAUGUGGUCAAGAAAAUACUGAUCCAAUUUAUAUCAGCGAAGCUCUUAAAUAGAACAGGUGGUGAUGACAAUCAGAAACUGGGUGAUAUCAAUAGAGAGCAAUAAUACAACAAAGAAAAUUUGCCAAUGGUGGGGUUGAGAGGACUGCUUUCCGUAUACCUCUAUUGACGGAACGUAGGGUGUUGCUUUUCUUCGCUGGAAGCUUCUGGGGUUUUCCAGGUCUCUCUCAUAUAAGUAACUGAGGAGUCAUCAGUCACCUUUACUGGGGGUCAUCACUUUUUGUGCUUUUGGAAGCCCAGUCUCUUCUUUUGUCCACGAGAGUUCUGUCUAUUUCGGUCAUGGGUUCUCUGCACAAGUCCAAGGUUAACUUUGAGCUGAAAUUCUCGUCUUUUCUUCUCCAUGUGUCUCAGGGACCUAUGACUAUUUCAGCUGACCUGGAGAUGCUGUAGUUCUUCUGCCUUUUCUCAUCUUGUUUGCCUGUUCUAGCACUCUCCCCUCUGAACUGGCUUGAGGAAAUUGGAAAUAAACCUAAUAGAAGAAACAUCAUCUCUUACUUGAUGGGGAUGGGAGAGCAUCAGGGCCUCUUUGAAGAGAGGAAGGGCUGAAUGGGAAAAUGUGCCAAGAACAGGCAGACAUGGAGGAAGAUGAUUUGGAGGAAGAAAGGAGAUGGGAGUUAUUUCACCUGGUUAAUAGGGAGAGCCCUAAUGCUGCCAGGAUUUUCCAGGUUCUUGAGCUCAAAUGCCAGCUUCGUCAUUUUCUAGCUGUGAUUUGAGGCGUGUGGUAGUUGAUAUUAUCCUUGCUCUUCAUUGCUGCCUCCCAACCCCCUGGGAGAGCAGUGACAUGUUCAUUUUGGAAACUCAUUUAACCUGACCACCUUCUCCUAGUUGCUGGUAUCUGCUGACCGCCUGAUCUCUUUUUGGUAGUCAUCAAACCCUUUGGCAACAACUCUUCAUCCCAAGUCUUGCCAUUAACUUACAGUCCUUCAGUAUCCACAUGAAAUGCAUCUUGUCUUUCUGGUUCCUCAAUCUUCUCAUUUCCAAAGACCCAUUUUUUUCAUUCCACCUCAAUGACCCACUAUCUUGGCCACUCCCUAUUCCUGCUCCAGUAAGAAAUUCAGUCAUCUUGUUCUGAUUACAACAAUCUUUUCUUGGUUAGUACUUGAUCAACAACUUCCACUGCACCAUUCUUCACCAAAUCAUCUCUAUUCUUAUUCCAGUCUCCCAGGCUUCUCCUUUCUUUCUUUAUUUCCCUAAUUAUUUCUACAAUCAUUAUACCAAUGCCCUAAACUCCAUUGCCUGUACAUGUUUUGAUCAUGCUUUGGGAUUUUUACAGAGCCCAUUUUUUAGUUGUUGAUUUUACAUUCAUUGUUGUGUCUGUUGGAUUAAUAACUGAGUUUUCCCUUAGGCUGUACACUUCAUGACAUCGGAGUUCAAGUGUGUUACUGUCGAUUGCAAGUAUAUCCCCAGUGCCUAGAAAAGGGUCUGAUAGACUACGGGUUUAAUAACUAUUUUUUUGAAUGAAUGGAAAGUCUACUGAGCCCCCUUUGCCUCACUUUAUAAAGUAGGGAUCAUAAUAUAGGCUUCAGAGUAAGGCUGUGAAGAUUAAAUGCGAUCCAUGAAUAUAAGGAAUCUAACACACUAUGUGGCAUAAAGUUAUUGCUCAAUUAUAGUUUUGAUUCUAUUUUUUCCUUCUUCCCCCUUUUCCUUCCUCCCAUUUUAUAACUAGAAACUGUUUACCUGCCUCCACGAGUAUAUGGGUGUUCUAUGGUCCAGACCCUGGUCUUAGCAGACAAAAACAAUGAGUGGUGGCCCAAGGAGGGGUGGAGGGCUCGUUGCUGACCUGUGGGGAUGUUCACAGGUUCCUUAGUCUGUAUUCCUCCAGACCCUUGACCAUUUCUACUGUGCCCAAUGCAGGUGCUUCUUCCAGGGGGAAGUGACAGGGAGACCAUUUACUCAGAACAGCCAGAGACCUUUGUUCUUGGAAGGAUGGGCAGAGAGGCCAGAGUCCAGGGUUGUAGAAGAGAGCUGAGGUUUCCAGCGGUUAUUAGAAUUCUUUGGUAAGAAACAACUUUGUUGGCUUUGACCUUCAACCUCAGCUCUGAGAUAAGCUGGGAGGCUUCUGGGCCUGGAAUCCUGCCUCUGCAAUGCCUCUGCCAACUCCACUUUUUUUUCCAGUGUUUGAGUAGCUGUCCCAGUUGAUUCAUUUAUGUGCCUGCCUUGCCCUUUGAUCGUCUCAUACUCAGGCUGUUUACCAAGACUGUAAUGAAUAGCUUGUAGCGUGAAUUUACUUGGGGAACUUGGUAAAAAUAUAAAAGUUCUGUUCUCAUUUCUGCAGUUUCUGAUUGGAUAGAUAAGGUUUGAAGUCCAAGAAUCUGCAUAUUUACCCACCCUUGGUUUUACUGAUGGAGUGGUCACAGUUUGUGGCAGUGGACCGGGGAAUACUGCAUUUCACCCUCUCCUUUGGCCCCAGUGUCCAAAAGGCAACCCUGAGGUAUAUACCACAGUGGGCAUUCACAAAGGAAGGGAGUGAGUUUGUUAAAACUACUUAGGGCUUUCUCCCACCUUUCAUGCAGAUCCUGGAAUGCCUUUCCAAGAGGAGGUUCCAAAAUCUUCUCUGUGCAAUUUUCAGUUGCUACUCCAUGAGUCUCCUGAUUCUGAUGUGCCCCACCCCCAAACGGAGGACCAUUCUGGCCCACCUGUCCAGAUGGCUUUGCCAGAAAGAGACCACCUGAGGGUCAAGUCUGCAUGCUGUCCUGGUUUAGUGCUGCCCCAAGUGCUAUGCGAGGGCUACACCGAGUGAAAGAGAUACACACAUGAGUAUCUGACAUUCUUUUUAAAAAAAAAUUCGAAUGGCUUUUUUCAUUUUAAAAAAUUUUAUUGGAGUUCCCAUCGUGGCUCAGCAGAAAUGAAUCUGACUAGUAUCCAUGAGGAUGCAGGUUUGAUCCCUGGCCUUGUUCAGUGUGUUAAGGAUCCAGCAUUGCCAGGAACUGUGGUAUGGGUGCAGAUGUGGCUCAGAUCUGGCUUUGCUGUGGCUGUGGCAUAGGCCAGUGGCUAUGGCUCUGAUUUGACCCCUAGCCUGGGAAACUCUAUAUGCUACAGGUGCAGCCC